UUCUGGCUCAGGAUGAACGCUGGCGGCGUGCUUAACACAUGCAAGUCGAACGGAGCUUAGAAGGAAGCUUGCUUUCAUUUAAGCUUAGUGGCGGACGGGUGAGUAACGCGUGAGCAACCUGCCCUCGAGUGGGGAAUAACAUCGAGAAAUCGGUGCUAAUACCGCAUAAUGUCGAGAGACCGCAUGAUCUUUCGACCAAAGGAUUUAUUCGCUUGAGGAUGGGCUCGCGUCCGAUUAGCUAGUUGGUGAGGUAACGGCCCACCAAGGCUUCGAUCGGUAGCCGAACUGAGAGGUUGAUCGGCCACAUUGGGACUGAGACACGGCCCAGACUCCUACGGGAGGCAGCAGUGGGGAAUAUUGGGCAAUGGGCGAAAAAGCCUGACCCAGCAACGCCGCGUGAAGGAUGAAGGUCUCGGAUUGUAAACUUCUUUGAUUGGGGAAGAAUAAAUGACCUACCCAAAGAACAAGCCACGGCUAACUACGUGCCAGCCGCCGC
rnacentral:rRNA from 1 species